rnacentral:rRNA from 1 species
UACGUAGGGAGCGAGCGUUGUCCGAAGUUACUGGGCGUAAAGCGCGCGUAGGCGGGGGAUUAAGUGAGAGGUGAAAGGCUGGGGCUCAACCCCAUGCAGUGCUCCUCAUACUGGUUCUCUUGAGGGCGGCAGGGAGAAGUGGAAUGGCUGGUGUAGCGGUGAAAUGCGUAGAUAUCAGUCGGAACACCGGUGGCGAAGGCGGCUUCUUGGGCCGUACCUGACGCUGAGGCGCGAAAGCCAGGGGAGCGAACGGG